GAUGAACGCUGGCGGCGUGCCUAAUACAUGCAAGUCGAGCGAACGGACGAGAAGCUUGCUUCUCUGAUGUUAGCGGCGGACGGGUGAGUAACACGUGGAUAACCUACCUAUAAGACUGGGAUAACUUCGGGAAACCGUAGCUAAUACCGGAUAAUAUUUUGAACCGCAUGGUUCAAAAGUGAAAGACGGUCUUGCUGUCACUUAUAGAUGGAUCCGCGCUGCAUUAGCUAGUUGGUAAGGUAACGGCUUACCAAGGCAACGAUGCAUAGCCGACCUGAGAGGGUGAUCGGCCACACUGGAACUGAGACACGGUCCAGACUCCUACGGGAGGCAGCAGUAGGGAAUCUUCCGCAAUAGGCGAAAGCCUGACGGAGCAACGCCGCGUGAGUGAUGAAGGUCUUCGGAUCGUAAAACUCUGUUACUAGGGAAGAACAUAUGUGUAAGUAACUGUGCACAUCUUGACGGUACCUAAUCAGAAAGCCACGGCUAACUACGUG
rnacentral:rRNA from 1 species